AUUGAACGCUGGCGGCAGGCCUAACACAUGCAAGUCGAGCGGAUGAAGGGAGCUUGCUCCUGGAUUCAGCGGCGGACGGGUGAGUAAUGCCUAGGAAUCUGCCUGGUAGUGGGGGAUAACGUCCGGAAACGGGCGCUAAUACCGCAUACGUCCUGAGGGAGAAAGUGGGGGAUCUUCGGACCUCACGCUAUCAGAUGAGCCUAGGUCGGAUUAGCUAGUGGGUGGGGUAAAGGCCUACCAAGGCGACGAUCCGUAACUGGUCUGAGAGGAUGAUCAGUCACACUGGAACUGAGACACGGUCCAGACUCCUACGGGAGGCAGCAGUGGGGAAUAUUGGACAAUGGGCGAAAGCCUGAUCCAGCCAUGCCGCGUGUGUGAAGAAGGUCUUCGGAUUGUAAAGCACUUUAAGUUGGGAGGAAGGGCAGUAAGUUAAUACCUUGCUGUUUUGACGUUACCAACAGAAGAAGCACCGGCUAACUUCGUG
rnacentral:rRNA from 1 species